rnacentral:rRNA from 1 species
UACGAAGGGGGCUAGCGUUGCUCGGAAUGACUGGGCGUAAAGGGCGCGUAGGCGGUUUGUACAGUCAGGUGUGAAAUUCCCGGGCUCAACCUGGGGGCGGCACUUGAGACGUAGGAACUGGAGUGAGGAAGAGGGUCGUGGAAUUCCCAGUGUAGAGGUGAAAUUCGUAGAUAUCGGGAGGAACACCAGUGGCGAAGGCGGCUUCCUGGCCUGUUCUUGACGCUGAGGCGCGAAAGCUAGGGGAGCAAACGGG